GACGAACGCUGGCGGCGUGCCUAAUACAUGCAAGUCGAGCGAAGCGGCGGAUGGGUGAGUAACGCGUGGGUAACCUGCCCAUCAGUCUGGGAUACCAAUUGGAAACAGCUGCAAAUACAGGAUACUAAGGGAUGGACCUGCGAUGCAUGAGAGAGUUGGUAAGGUCACGGUGUACAAAGGCGAUAAUGCAUAGCCGAGUUGAGAGACUGAGCGGCCACAUGGGGACUGAGACACGGCCCAAACUCCUACGUGAGGCAGCAGGAGGGAAUCUUCCACAAUGGACGAAAGUCUGAUGGAGCAACGCCGCGUGAGUGAAGAAGGUUUUCGGAUCGUAAAGCUCUGUUGUUGGUGAAGCGUGAAUCAACCAGAAAGUCACGGCUAACUACGUGCCAGCAGCCGCGGUAAUAC
rnacentral:rRNA from 1 species